CAGCGUCACCAGCACCGGUAGUCUCAGGCUCUGCCACCGCCGGCGCCCAGCGGCUCCGCGGCUCGGUGCCGGCAGUGCAGAGCAACUUUCUUCAAGUGCAGCUGGCAGGAGGAAAGAACUUAAGCAGGCUGUGGAAUCAGGGUACCUGUCCUACCCCUGACAGCCAGGCUUCUGUACUCACUCACCAUACCCCAAAGUGAAAGGAGAAGGUGGCAGACUGUUCUGACACUGAUCAUUGGUCCUUGAGGUGCUGUUGGUGGGGAACAGACCAGUAAGGUAUAGCUGAAGCUGGCAGGUAUGUGAAAUUGCAAAGAUCUCUUUUGUUUCUCUGUACAUGUCCUGUUUAUUCCAGCAAAUGCCAAACAGGCCUACGUAUGUCAGUGCCAUUUAAUGCUUCAUUGUUAUUGUUUAAAGUAUGAUGAAUCGUGUGGGCUUAGGGUAAGAACUGACAAAGACAGCGUGGUGUAGUUGGGUGCUACCUACUUUUUUUAAUUUGUGUGGCAUUCUCUGCCUUCCCUAUGGACACUAGGGGUUUUUGUGCCCUGGUGCAGAGUGUCCCUGGUUGCAUGCGGAGAUGUCUCUUGACACAGACAGCCUGGCAGCAGGGGAGCCCUGGGAAGAGGACAGCUUCUGGUGGGCUGUGGCGCCCCAGAGUUUCUCUCUGGUCAGUCAGAACCCUCCUCUAGAGGCUGAACAUUGGUGAGUCUCUGAAAGCAUGUUAUUUCCAGAGUCCACUGCAGCAGGGAAGAAAGAUGCUUCUCGGCAGAUUUGCUAUACACCAUCUGAGGUCUGCACUUGGCUUGUGACCAUGCUUCGUGCCUGCUGCGACCACAGAGCCACUGCCACCACUAGCCCUCCAAGGCUGAGCUGAAUUAUUUUCUGACUCGGAUAUAGCCAAGAGACGCAUCAGCUACAAGAGAUUCCAGCUGCAGAAUGUGUGUGCGCUUUGUGUCUUGUUCAGAUGUUAUUUCCUUAAUAAAAUUGCUCAUUUGGCGUGAA